rnacentral:tRNA from 1 species
AUUUAUAUAGCUUAUAUUAGAGCGAUUUACUGAAGAUAAAGAGGACUA